GAUCCUGGCUCAGGACGAACGCUGGCGGCGUGCCUAAUACAUGCAAGUCGAGCGAAGUUUUUCUGGUGCUUGCACUAGAAAAACUUAGCGGCGAACGGGUGAGUAACACGUAAAGAACCUGCCUCAUAGACGGGGACAACUAUUGGAAACGAUAGCUAAUACCGGAUAACAGCAUAAAUCGCAUGAUAUAUGUUUUAAAAAGUUGGUUUCGGCUAACACUAUGAGAUGGCUUUGCGGUGCAUUAG
rnacentral:rRNA from 1 species